UGGCGAAAAAGAUGUUGUGCCUGCUAGCACAGGCCUCUGGGUGGGCCAGCAAUGCCGGCUAUCCAAAAGAGGACUGCCUCGAAGCAGUCGGAAGCCUCACUGCAAGUUUACAGGCGAUGCAAGGGACCAAGAACAAGCUAAACAAUGUCACGUGAGAGAGAGACAAAUUCCAAGAGUAGGGUGUCAUACCUGGCCCACAAUGAGUCUCCAUGUCACAGAAAUGGACCAGUUACAAGGAAUGGUCCUGGAUCCAUUUUUUUCUUUGAACAAAGCCAUUGUUAAGAACACAAGUGAGGUUCUAAUAAGAAAACAUCGGUAAAAUUGAACUGUAAAGGUCAGAGAAGCAGGUAACAGAAUUAUAUGUCUUCUGCGCUAUCUUGAGAUACAAUCCAAAAGCAUGUGCCCUAAGUCAUUCACUGUGGUGGUCUGAGUGACUCUUGAUUUUUGCUUGCUGUAGUUCCCUAAACCACUGCCGUCCCUGUAAUCCUCAUCUCUCCCCAGGCUCCACAUGCAAAAGUCCUGCUCUGUCCCGGGCUUGUACCCUGGAAUGUGGGCUUGUUGAGGCAGAGCUACUCAGAAAAGAAUGUGUCCCUGCUGUCAGCUAAGUCGGGGUGAGUCCCAUCAACUAUUGUGACUGCGGUCCUUUAAACGACAGAAGAUGUGUGUGGAGAUGAAGGCAGACACAGACACCAGGUUGUGUCUCUACAUGCUGAGGAACCGCGGGAUGCCAGUCACCACCAGGAGCUGGUUGGCAGUGGCAGACUACCCCACCUGGACUGGGCAAGAAGCCACCCUGGCAGCCAUGACCUCAGACCUCCAGAACAUCCACAGCAAGGCAGGAUAUUUCUGCCAUGUGGACACUACAGUCAUCUAUGCCCACCUGGUACACAUAACGUCUCUAACAACAGCAAUGGAAUCGUUCAAAUUGUAGAGUUAAAAGCGAGGCUUGGGUGGGUACUUUAAAAAUACAGAGAGCCAACUGUCCCCACCCAGGAACUGCAGCUUCCCGGGUUGGCAGCCUCCGCUCCCUCCGCUGUGUGAGGAGAGCAUCCUUCACAGCACCAGGGCUCUAGGGAGCCUUCCUUCCCCCUCGCCUGUGGUUCUCCUGAGUCAGCCCACAUGAGUCACUUCUACUCUCUGGAGCUGCUGGGUUUUCUGGCCGAUGGAGACCCUACCAGAAGCACAUCUUGGCUCCGCCCCACCCAGUUCCGGAGAGGUGGAAAGUGAGAUGAGGCACCUGCAGGCCAUGGGGUGGCAUAGGUCGUCCUGGGGGCGUGGCUUAGCACCUCCUCCCUGAGAGCAGCAGUCUUCCGAGCAGCGCCCGGGCUGGGCUCGGAAACCUGAUCUAUGGCAUGGCCUGAGGAUCAAAAUAACUCCCGAGAAUAACCGUCCAGCCUCGGCAGGCCUGUCCUGGGACUCCGACUCCGCAUGUGGGCCUGCGUGUUGAAGUGCUCCGGCCUGGGCCUUCACUUCCGCCACAGCUCCCCAGGAAUGAGUUAUCAGGCCACACACCCUGGAACUCAAUCAACUGAAACAAUCAGAGGAAGUGUGGCGCUUUCUCCACACGCCAGCCAAAUGGGGAGCCCGCUUAUCAAAAGGACAAGAUUUAUUCAGUUGCUACAAACUUCCAAAGACUUCCUUUCCCAAAAGAAAGGCCCACAGGAAGGUCGUGUCCUUCAGCCACAUCCAGUGAGUCCAAAGUGCUUCACUUCAAGCUAGUCAGUCAGGUGACUUCCACUCUGCCCCCAGCGCGACACCUGAGCACACCGCUGCCCCAAGAGAGGUCUGCAGGCUCUCCGAGGGUCCAGAUAAAAGACACAACUGGCUCUCAGAUCACGGAAUCCAGACCAGAAUACAAAUUAAACACCACCUCAGAGAAAACAAGGCUUCUGCUUCCUGGGAACAGGUCGAUGUGAAUACCAAAGGGCUGGUUAAAGUGGUGACCCACGAAGAGAAAGGUCAGGGUACCUUCCUGCUUCCUGUUCUGCUCUCUCUGUGCUGUGCAAGGGCUUCAUCCACAUGGAGCAUCAGUAUAACGGUACCAUCUGAUAAAGAAGAGGACUUAAGGCCUCCCACAGAUCACCGUUAACGAGAACACUCUUUCCCGCAUGUCCCUGCUUAGCUGCCCUUUGACUCUCAGGACAAAGGAAGCCAUGGAAUAGUGUCCCUACCGUGGGCGACAAGACACACAAACUACCUACAAUUUCAAGAAAUUGUGAGAACCCUAAAGCUGUGGCUGUCACCCUUCCCAAUCCUGCAACUCUUUAACACAGUUCCCCAUGUGGUGGUGACCCCAACCAUAAAAUUGUUUCAUUGCUAAUUCAUAGCUGUGAUUUUUGCUACUAUUAUGAAUCAUAAUGUAAAUAUUUGAUAUGCAGGAUAUCUGGUGUGUAACCCCUGAGGGGGUCGCAACCCACAGGUUCAGACCCACUGCCGUAAAGUCUUUCUGUAGGACACCCCUAAGAUCUCCUAAGAGGCUAGCAGCUAGACACCACAUCAACACCGUGAUCCAUGGAGAGCUUAGGCUCCAACAGGCGACAGCAUGCAGAUAGCCAUUGAUUUCAUUCAGAGAAGCUGGCUGAGGAUUAUCAUGACAUGUAUGAAAGCAAAAAACUAGCCCACGGCUGUGAAAGAAGGUACAGGGGGUGGGAAGUAUAGGGACAUAAAGUUGGUUGGAAGGGUGGGGCCUACUCCAGGAGGGAAAAAAAAUGAGAGAGGAAACAGACAUUUAUUCCACACCUAGAGGGAGACCAGGGCUUGGCUUCAUUGCAGGUGGAUUGCAGUCACAGUAAAGCCACCUCUGUGUUUGGGUUCGGUCCUCUCGAUGCAAACAAAGCUUCCAGGCAGGGGAUGUGUAACCAGAACCCAGAGACAGAAAUGGCUGCUCUUCACAUGCGUGCCUGGGGACUGCUCCCUUCCCUUUGGAGAGAGAUUUGUCAUUUAUCGAAGAGGAUUCCUCAGAGGCACAAAUCAGGGGCACAACUGACCAUUUCAAAUGUGGCUGGGUCUACCGUGCAAAAUACUCUUGGCUCUUCAGUUCUCUUUGAGUAACUUUUCCUUCAGGGAAGGUCUAGGGACUUUUGGUAUUGCUUGGGGGAUGUAAGCAUAAGAGAGAAUGAUUUAGAAGAUUAAAAAGAUUAGAGUUCUUACUGUAACAAUGGAGAGAUGGCUACCGGGGAGUGAGUGUGACUCUUAAGAGAGAGAAGGUUUUCUUGAAGAGACAAAUGAAAAGUCAGGGAAUGUCCUAACAAUGACAUAAGGUCCCCGAGAUGGCUCCUAAGCUGAAGGUGCUUGCUGCCAAGCCUGAAGAUCUUAGGAGAGGACCAGCUCCCACAAGUUUUCCUUGGACCUCAAGAUGCACACACGUGUGCACACACACACAUAUACCCCUCAGGAAAUAAAUAAAUAGGUAGAUAAAUAGAUAAAUGUGGUAAAAGAAAAUUUACGACAUAUGUAUCAUCAUAAUUCCAUCCCAGAACUAGAUUUUAUACCUUUCAAAAACGCAAUAGAAAAUUAAGAAUGAUCCUUAGCAAGUGAUAUAUAGAAAUUACUGUUGUCUGUAUUUAAAUAUAUUUAUUAAUAAAAUAAUAAAUAUUUGUAUAAAAAUUCUCUACC